GCCAUUUCUAGAUCAUUCUACCAUCCUAAAAGGGAUCUAGAGUAAAUGAUUGUGGACUCCUGGGCUGAUUGGAUCCAAAAUAUGCUAAUCAUUCACAUUAUUUGGUUCAUUCAUUAGGCAGCCUUUUUUUUUUUUUUUUUGAGGAAGAUUGGCCCUGAGCUAACAUCCGUGCCCGUCUUCCUCUACUUUAAAUGUGGGAUGCCCACCACAGCAUGGCCUGAUAAGUGGUGCAUGUGUCCACGUCCGAGAUCUGAACCAGCCAACCCCGAGUCUCUGAAGCAGAGUGUGCGAACUUAACUGCUAUGCCACUGGACUGGCCCCUAGGCAAUCAUUUUCAAGCAUAUACCACGUGCUAGGUCAUAUGGGUAUGGCAACCAACAGCAUGGACACAAACCUUGCUCUCUAGGAGCUUACGGUCUAGUGGAGGAGCCAAGAAGUAAAUAGGGAAUUACAAAAUGAUGUAAUGGUGUAAGAAAGGUCAGCUCAAGGUAUGAUGUCUCAUUAGACCAAAGGACAACUUUUAUCAAACUUGUAACUUUAAAUCUGGCCCAACAUCCAGGUUCCUGGACUCAUUCAGAGAGCUGCAUAUAUGAACUACAGAGGACUCUAAUUUAUCUGCCCCAGUCUUGAUUUCUGGACUGGAGUACAGCCCAGGUCCCAUCCAUUCUGAGAGACCUUCCAGAUGGUCACAUGGACAGGAUACAAUGACCAAGAACCAGGAGCAAAGUGAACGGGAGAAACAGAAUUGUCAGGACGUUUGAAGAGGGGAGCAAUCAGCCCACUGAGAUAGCACAUCUUUUCUUCAAGUACAAAAUAUUGGAACAAGGAUUCUGUAAGCCAUCACAGGAAGCCACUGCCUUUUUACUCAGAUUUAUCAAGUCCUCAUUACGUGAGUGCUUAAUGUGUAUUAUUUUAUUUAAUCCUAGCGAUAACUAUAUGAUGUGGGUGUGAUUAUUAUUUCCUUUUUACAGAUAAGGAGCUGAAGCACAGAAAGGUUAAGUAAUUAACCUAAGUGGCUCUAAUUGGUGGUCCUGGGGCUCAGUCUCAGGAUGGUCUGACUUCCAAGCUCACACUUUUAACCACGGUGCAAAGUGCCUCUCCUUUUCUCUGCCAAGAUGGUGAACAAGUUAAUGGGCCUCAGUCUUUCUGUAAGAUGUAAAAGGAAAACAGUAGUGGCUGGGGCUUUCAAACAACUCUGUUUCUUGCAUGAGUCUUCACGAGUAGCUCUUCUUUGAGGAUAGACUAGUAUAAACCAGCCUACCAGGAUGUCCCAGGCAAAUGGUUUAACUACAUCACACAUCCGUUUCUUCACGUUCCCCUAAGGCUAACGGUUCCAGCCCCUUUCCUGCUUCACAUAAAAUGUAUGAAGUUUAGUGAUAUGAUGUCAUCACAUGCAGUUUGAGCUUCUUGGAAAAAGGAUGCUAUGUAAACACAGUAGAAGUGAUAGAAAAACAGUGUCAGUAUGGUAUGUAUACAACAUAAAAUGGACUAAAUUAUUUUGUUAGAGUUAGGGACAAAAAUAGCUCCCUAAUCUUGCAUAUCUAUUUUUUAAUCAGCUUGCAUGUUGCCUGUGUCUGUGGCUUUCAAGGGCAACCUGAAAGGGAAAUGUGUCUGAUAGAGCAUUGAUUGGAUUAGCUGUUGAGCCUUCUCCUUUUAGAGGAAAUAUUGCAUUAUCCAAGAUCUUGCCUAUUUCCAGCU
rnacentral:lncRNA from 1 species